rnacentral:rRNA from 1 species
UACGAAGGGUGCAAGCGUUACUCGGAAUUACUGGGCGUAAAGCGUGCGUAGGUGGUUUGUUAAGUCUGAUGUGAAAGCCCUGGGCUCAACCUGGGAAUUGCAUUGGAUACUGGCAGGCUAGAGUGCGGUAGAGGGUAGUGGAAUUCCCGGUGUAGCAGUGAAAUGCGUAGAGAUCGGGAGGAACAUCCGUGGCGAAGGCGACUACCUGGACCAGCACUGACACUGAUGCACGAAAGCGUGGGGAGCAAACAGG